CUACGGGGCGCUGCAGUGGGGAAUAUUGGACAAUGGGGGAAACCCUGAUCCAGCAAUGCCGCGUGUGUGAAGAAGGCCUGCGGGUUGUAAAGCACUUUCGGUUGGGAGGACUGCUUCUAGCACUAAUAUUGUUGGAAGUUGACGUUACCUUCAGAAGAAGCACCGGCUACCUCCGUGCCAGCAGCCGCGGUAAUACGGUGGGUGCAAGCGUUAAUCGGAAUUACUGGGCGUAAAGCGCGCGUAGGCGGCUAGAUCAGUCGGGUGUGAAAGCCCCGGGCUUAACCUGGGAACUGCAUCCGAUACUGUCGAGCUUGAGUACAGGAGAGGAGAGUGGAAUUCCACAUGUAGCGGUGAAAUGCGUAGAUAUGUGGAGGAACACCAAUGGCGAAGGCAGCUCUCUGGCCUGAUACUGACGCUGAGGUGCGAAAGCGUGGGGAGCAAACAGGAUUAGAUACCCGGGUAGUC
rnacentral:rRNA from 1 species